rnacentral:rRNA from 1 species
AACGCGAAGAACCUUACCUGGGCUCGAACGGCUUCUCAACGCCGGUGGAAACAUCGGUACCCCGCAAGGGGGUGGAGUCGAGGUGCUGCAUGGCUGUCGUCAGCUCGUGUCGUGAGAUGUUGGGUUAAGUCCCGCAACGAGCGCAACCCUUGUCCUGUGUUGCCAUGCCGAAAGGCGGAACUCGCAGGAGACCGCCAGCGAUAAGCUGGAGGAAGGUGGGGAUGACGUCAAGUCCUCAUGGCCUUUAUGUCCAGGGCUACACACGUGCUACAAUGGCCGGUACAGAGCGUUCCGAAGCCGCAAGGUGAAGGCAAUCGCAAAAAACCGGUCUCAGUUCGGAUUGCAGGCUGCAACUCGCCUGCAUGAAGCUGGAAUCGCUAGUAAUGGCAGAUCAGCACGCUGCCGUGAAUACGUUCCCGGGCCUUGUACACACCGCUCGCGA